rnacentral:misc_RNA from 1 species
GAUGAAGAACGUAGCAAAAUGCGAUACUUGGUGUGAAUUGCAGAAUCCCGUGAACCAUCGAGUUUUUGAACGCAAGUUGCGCCCGAAGCCUUUUGGCCGAGGGCACGUCUGCCUGGGCGUCACGCAUCACGUCGCCCCCCACAAUUCUCCGUAAAGGGAACGUGUGUUUUGGGGGCGGAUAUUGGUCUCCCGUGCUCAUGGCGUGGUUGGCCGAAAUAGGAGUCCUUUCGAUGGACGCACGAACUAGUGGUGGUCGUAAAAACCCUCGUCUUUUGUUUCGUGCUGUUGCUCGCAAGGUAAACUCUUUAAAAACCCCAACGUGUCGUCUCUUGACGACGCUUCGACCGCGACCCCAGGUCAGGCGGGACUACCCGCUGAGUUUAAGCAUAUCAAUAAGCGGAGGA